GACGCAUCUUAUGCACUUUCCUUCGUGCAUAUGGUCGAAAGCUUUGUUUAUGUUCUUAAGUGGUUCUUCAUUAGUGAUAUAUUCAUCCACUUUGAAGUGGCCUUGCAUGUACUCAUCAACAAAGUUCGGCAAUUCAGAACGCCCUUUAACUCCUCCAAAAGCUGAACCCAACACUUGACGACCAGUUACUACAAGGAAUGGACGAAAAUCAAGGGUUUUACCAGCUGCGGCGACGCCUAUAACACACAGUUUACCCCAACCUUUGUGGCAGAAUUGAAGUUCCUGCUGCAUGACAGUGACAUUUCCAGUGCAAUCAAAUGCAUAGUCAACACCACCAUCAGUCACAUCAAUAACAUACUGUACGAGGUCUUUAACUUUAGAAGAAUCGAUAAAGUCAGUAGCACCAAAUUUCUUGGCAUAUACUUCCUUAUCUGCAUUGAUAUCAAUAGCAAUGAUUCUCGAAGCACCAGCUGCAACCGCACCCUGCAUUGCAGCGAGACCUACGCAUCCACAUCCAACAACAGCUACCGUUGAACCAGACUCAACCUUAGCAGAGUGUGUCACAGCACCAAAUCCAGUUGUGACACCGCAGCCCAACAAGCAAAUACUGCGAAGAGGUGCGGAGUGUGAAAUAGCCACAAGCGAGAUAUCAGCUACAACUGUGUAUUGACUAAAGCUAGAACAUCCCAUGUAAUGAAGCAACGUUUUAUCGCGACAGGAAAAGCGACUAGUACCGUCAGGCAUUAAACCUCGACCUUGUGUUUCACGAAUUUUGGAGCACAAAUUAGUUUUACCACUACGACAGAAUUUACACUCUUUACAUUCCGGAGUAUAUAGCAAAAUAACAUGGUCUCCAGGACGCACGUUGAUAACCCCUUCGCCAAUGCUUUCCACAAUACCAGCACCCUCAUGACCAAGAACAAUAGGGAAUGCGCCUUCUGGAUCUACACCAGACAGCGUGUAAGCAUCUGUGUGACAAACAGCACUCCAAUCGACUUUCACACGAACCUCAUGAGCUUUUGGAGGGGCAACCUGAAUACUGUAGUAUCACCUCCCAUUCUGCCCGUUGAUGAGCAGAAGAGAAGUCAAAAGUUAGUAAUAAAAUUCAAGUAUAAAUUCUUUUCCUUUUGUCAUCAUUAUACUUACUCCUCUAUAGAUAAAGGUUCCUUUGCACCCCAAGCUACGGCUGCCUAAAACGAAUGUUAUUAGUACACAGAAAGAAAAAAUAAAAGAUAAUUAUCCAUAUACUCAUGGAUGAACAAUAAUAUCAAAAGUAAACCUUUGGUGGACUUACAGCACCAAUAUCAUUUACACUUUAGACAAUGAUUUACGUUUUCUUUUUCAUACCUUGCAAGUGAUCGUUUUACCUUCGAAAGACAUGUUUCAUUAAAGACUAUCUCAGAAUGUGUAUUUGGUAGAAAGACUGUUACAGUUUUAACAUUUAGGUCUACUUACUUAUUACAUAUGCUUACUACUAGAUAGGUCGCGACUCGGAUGAAAAUUGUCGAUCAUCGUCGAUCUUGUAUCUCAAUAGUC